ACUCCUACGGGAGGCAGCAGUAGGGAAUCUUCCACAAUGGACGAAAGUCUGAUGGAGCAACGCCGCGUGAGCGAUGAAGGCCUUCGGGUCGUAAAGCUCUGUUGUUAGGGAAGAACAAGUAUCGGAGUAACUGCCGGUACCUUGACGGUACCUAACCAGAAAGCCACGGCUAACUACGUGCCAGCAGCCGCGGUAAU
rnacentral:rRNA from 1 species